rnacentral:rRNA from 1 species
AAACUUUACACUGCGGGAAACCGCGAUAAGGGGACCCCGAGUGCCAGCACCUAGUGUUGGCUGUCCUACUGUCUAAAUAACAGUGGUUAGCAAGGGCCGGGCAAGACCGGUGCCAGCCGCCGCGGUAACACCGGCGGCCCGAGUGGUAACCGUCUUUAUUGGGUUUAAAGGGUCCGUAGCCGGCUUAAGUCUUUUGGGAAAUCUGGCGGCUCAAUCGUCAGGCGUCCAAGAGAUACUGGUAGGCUUGGGACCGGGAGAGGUGGGAGGUACUCCA